UGGUAUUAUGGGCUUCUGGUCACCGUGGGAACGCACAAUGACCCCCCCCCACCUGUACAGGUGACCUCCGUAUUCACCUGUUUCAGGUAUCAGAGAUAGGAAGGGGACUAAAUGGACUCCAUUUAUACAGCGCUUUUCUAACCAGUGGCCACUCAAAGCGCUUUACAAUACUGCCUAACAUUCACACAUUCAUCCACCGACAGCGGUGGGAACCACACAAGGCGACAGCCAGCUCGGUAGGAGCAGUCAGGACGAGGUGUCUUGUCUAGGAGGAGCCGGGGAUCAAACUAGCAACCUUCCGGUCCCCAGUCAACCCACUCUGCUGUCAUCAGGCGUCAGGGUUUUGGUUCUCAAAGUACGACCAAAGAUAUCGACUGUCCAACUUUUCUGUGAUUUUCCUCGGAAGCGGAGUGCAUAUUGCGGACGUCUGCGUGGGCAGAGUGAAUCAGAGAGCAUUCUGGGUGCAAAACGAGAACAAAACGUUGAGGAGAGUGUGAGUGCGUCACUUGUUGUCCGUCAGCGCCAGAGGAACAGACUACUACAAAAGCGAUCGAGUUGUGAAGUGCGACAGGUCGGGCGAUCAAGGCCUCCCUGUUCCACCGGCGUCACUCCUACACCUCCGCAGGUUCCGACACCUCCUCUGAUGAUCGGCUCUCUGACGUCAGCCGAACACAGCCCUGGAUACAGACACAGCCACCCUCCGGCUCUUUACCACUCUGUUUCUCUCUCUGCCUAUCUCGCUCUAUUUCUCCCUCUCUUUCUCUCCCUCCGUCUUUCUCUCUCUUCCACACUCUCCCUCUCUCUCUUUCUCUCCGCCUAUUCCACAGUCUCCCUCUCCCUAUUUCACACAAUCUCUCUCUUUCUCUCUCCACCUUUCUCUCUCUCCCCCUCUCUCUCUUUCUCCCUCCAACACUCUCUCCCUCUCUCCCCCCCUCCCUCUGAUUGUCAAGUGUCUCCUCUUAGUGAUGAGUCUCAUUGUAAUUCUGAUAAUUGCUCCGGCUCCAUGAUAAUACAUAAUAACACAGACAUUUUGUUCAUGCUAAUAACCACACUCUGCUGAAUGUUCUAAAAUGGCUGCUUAAUG
rnacentral:lncRNA from 1 species